rnacentral:rRNA from 1 species
GAUGAACGCUGGCGGCGUGCCUAAUACAUGCAAGUCGAGCGAACGGACGAGAAGCUUGCUUCUCUGAUGUUAGCGGCGGACGGGUGAGUAACACGUGGAUAACCUACCUAUAAGACUGGGAUAACUUCGGGAAACCGGAGCUAAUACCGGAUAAUAUUUUGAACCGCAUGGUUCAAAAGUGAAAGACGGUCUUGCUGUCACUUAUAGAUGGAUCCGCGCUGCAUUAGCUAGUUGGUAAGGUAACGGCUUACCAAGGCAACGAUGCAUAGCCGACCUGAGAGGGUGAUCGGCCACACUGGAACUGAGACACGGUCCAGACUCCUACGGGAGGCAGCAGUAGGGAAUCUUCCGCAAUGGGCGAAAGCCUGACGGAGCAACGCCGCGUGAGUGAUGGAGGUCUUCGGAUCGUAAAACUCUGUUAUUAGGGAAGAACAUAUGUGUAAGUAACCGUGCACAUCUUGACGGUACCUAAUCAGAAAGCCACGGCUAACUACGUG